rnacentral:tRNA from 1 species
GAGGGUAUAGCUUAGUGCUUAGAGCAGGUGCUUAGCAUGCACCAGGUCCUGGGUUCAAUCCCCAGUACCUCCA